CGAGUGUGGCAAAGUGCAUUUAGAUGAGUGGUGUCGGUUUGGGGUUUCUUUUUCGCUGAUGGGGAUUCGGUGUCAUCGAGGGAUGAAGUGAGCCAAGUUGGAUUGUCAACGGAGUUCGUAGAAUUGCAGUUGGACGAGUUCAUCUCCGUAAACUGCUGAAAUUUGUUACAUUUGAUUACACUGGAAUUGAGUGCUGGUCAUCGUCAUAAUACUCUGUGUGGGGGUGUGUGUGGGAAUCCAUAAAGAAGAAGUGGAAAGUUUCGUGUGAGUUUGUUUGUGGAACAACGAAUUGUUCAAUCGGGUGGAAAAGUCCCAAGAAGGCGAAGUGAAGCUUUUGACGGUCUUACAAGAACCGUUCUAGGGGAAAACUUUCUCUCCUUGAGAUUGUGGUGCGAGGCGGUGAGACAAGGUGUUCGUUCAUCGAUCGAACCGAAGCUCCAAGCUGCAGGAUUGGAUGGAGGAGUAAGAACGUCAAUCUUGCCGUCGAACAAUAAAGAAGAUCAUGCUUCCCCUGAUUCGUGCUGCCGGUUCGUGGAAUAGAGCAACUAGAACGAGAGUCAUCAGCAACGUAGCAACCAUCACCACCACCACCACGGUGCUCCGGAUUGUCCAUCGCGUCCAGAAUGCUAAUCAGGUCGCCAACGUGGAAAGAUGCUCUUGCCACUGCCUCAGCCUGUUUUAUUGUCGGUGUGCCCAGAAGACGUAAACCGGUGGCCGGUAGCAAGCGGAAGGUGUGACCCUGUAGACGAAGUAGUGCCAGUUGUAGAGUUAGUAGCUGUAGUAGAUGGCUCUCUGUGGAUGCUGCGGCGUGAGUUCCGGUGAUGCCCACCCGCGCCGCCAUAGAAGAGAGAACAAAUCGAAUUAAUCAAACCACGGCCAGCUGGUGAGGGAGUUCCAUUUUGCUGCAACGAAAAAGAAAAGCGGCGGCACACCAACCUGACCUCCCAGGAUGAUUAAUCACCCGGUGGAGAGAUUCGGUUGAUGAAAUAUAACGUUCACUCCCAGGGCCCGAUUUCAGGUCAAGCAAUCUCGGGGGGUACUUUGCGGACGAAUUGCCACCACCGUGCAUCAACGGACAUAUUGUGAUUAACUUUGUGUGACACAGCGAUAAGAAUUCCGAAAGACAGGAAGAGGGGGAGAAAGCACAUAAAAACCUAAUCAAGAAAGGCGCUCCCAAGGGGACCACAAGUCAGCUUCGGCAAGGACACAUAAAAAAGGCCAACAGCCGGCCCACAAAAAAGAAACAGCAAAGAGUGCGAGCACGUGUCGAAAUCUUGAGCAGCUCUCAAAACGCAGAAUAGCCAUCAUCAUUCCGGUAAGACUGUAGGAUACAUGUAAACGAAAUCACGAAAGCACUCUCGACGUCGGUGAUCGUAAAGGACUCGUAGACCACAACGCACCAACAGAAGAAACAUAGACCAAUCACAAACACUCAGAGCACAGGGCACCACAGGACGGAAAAUGAAUCUUAUGAACAUGGACUCGGAGAACCGGGUGGUGCUGAAUGUGGGCGGCAUCCGGCACGAGACGUACAAGGCGACGUUGAAGAAAAUUCCCGCCACCCGGCUGUCCCGGCUAACGGAGGCCCUCGGCAACUACGACCCGGUGCUCAAUGAGUACUUUUUCGACCGGCAUCCGGGGGUGUUUGCACAGGUGCUCAACUAUUAUCGGACGGGGAAGCUGCACUACCCGACCGACGUUUGCGGACCACUGUUUGAGGAGGAGCUAUCCUUCUGGGGUUUAGAUUCCAACCAAGUAGAACCGUGCUGCUGGAUGACGUACACUCAGCACCGGAACACGCAGGAGACGUUGGCUGUUUUAGAUAGGCUAGAUUUAGAUACGGAAAAACCUACCGACGAAGAGGUAGCGAAAAAGUUCGGUUUCGAAGACGCUUACAAUAAGGGCAAGGUGAACUGGUGGCAGCACCUCAAGCCGCAGAUGUGGUCCCUCUUUGACGAACCAUACAGCUCCAACGCCGCCAAGAUAAUCGGCAUCAUAUCAGUAUUCUUCAUCUGUGUAUCGAUCAUAUCAUUCUGCCUGAAAACGCACCCGGACAUGCGGGUACCGUACAUCCGCAACAUCACGGUCAAAACGGCAAGCCAAAACACGUCCUGGGUGCUGGACAAAACGCAAACCAAUGCCCACGUGGCGUUUUUCUACAUCGAAUGCGUGUGUAACGCAUGGUUCACCUUCGAGAUAAUGGUGCGGUUCAUUUCGUCCCCGAGUAAGCUUAGGUUCAUCACUUCGUCUGUAAAUAUCAUCGACUACAUCGCCACGUUAAGUUUCUUCAUCGACCUGAUACUGCAGCGGUUCGCGUCCCACCUGGAGAACGCCGACAUCCUGGAGUUCUUCUCCAUCAUCCGUAUCAUGAGAUUGUUCAAGCUGACGCGGCACUCGUCCGGGCUGAAAAUUCUCAUCCAAACUUUUCGGGCCUCGGCCAAAGAGCUGACGCUGCUAGUGUUUUUCUUAGUUCUAGGUAUCGUGAUAUUCGCCAGUCUGGUGUACUACGCCGAGCGGAUACAGAUCAAUCCGCACAACGACUUCAACAGCAUACCGCUGGGGCUGUGGUGGGCCCUGGUCACGAUGACCACCGUGGGGUACGGGGACAUGACGCCGAAGACCUACAUUGGGAUGUUUGUGGGUGCACUCUGUGCCCUGGCCGGUGUGUUGACGAUCGCCCUGCCCGUACCCGUCAUCGUGAGCAACUUUACGAUGUACUACUCGCACACGCAGGCCCGUGCCAAGCUACCGAAGCGAAGACGUCGCGUGUGCCCGGUGGAGCUGUCCAGACCGCCGCGGUUGCCAGGUCAAGGUGGCCCGGGAGGUGUGUGCGCCAACACCGGAUCCGGAAAGCUUCCCUCUUCCAACGCACCGAGCACCGGAAGCAUGGAUCAAACCAUUCGGCGCAUGAAUGCCAACCGCACCAUCUCCAAAGACGUCAUCCUGCCAAAGAUGGCACGAUGGGACGACAACCUGUAGGUAUUUCGUUGUGUGAUCGUGAUCGAAUGCUGGGCUCAAAAGUUGCCGGUGUGCUGUCCCGCUUCCUUUGGUCACACACUAGUGUUUCCGUUAUGAUGACACACAUGCUUGCGUGCCUGUGCUGAAAGCUUCACAUCCGGUGCUGGGUAAAAAGUUCACUCGAACGCUCGAACCAUCUAACGAAACAAGCAUCCGGUGGCGGUGGCAUCAGCAGAAGUACAUACGCUGCCAUCCCACUGCUAAUGGAUUCCAACGGAAAUAAAAGCUCAGAAUCGGUUCCGAUGACGACGAGAAGACAACCGGCAACGCAACGCAACGGAGAGAAUUCCCUUUCGGUGGAAUUGAUUUGAAUUCUUCCAAGUCACGUGCUUAUCCAACGACCUCCCGUGCCCCGAUUGGAAAUAUCAGCUUCGGUUUGGUUUCAUCGUUUAUCAAAUUGGAAGAAUGUUCUCCCACUUGGCAACUGCCAUGCUGGAGAGUACCGACAACAACAAAAAAAAUCACCGAAACACUUUCGAAAUCUGGAACACCGAAAGAGAUGCUACACAUUUCAUUCAUCGCUAUGCCAACCGUUCACACAAAAACCACGCACCGACCUUCGCAAGCACACGAGCAUGUCGAAUGAAACACCUUCAUUUCAAAGGUUUUAUCAAAAAAUAACGGCACACAUACCGACCGACACACAUACAUCAGUACAAACACACACAUACAUGGCUGUAUCGAAAGAUUGCUCCACCGUUUCCGGGAACAAACCACCCAUCAUCGACAGAAAAGCAGCAAGCAGACAGGCGCAGGCAGGCAGGCAGCCAAUAAUCCACCACCAUCCGGCAGAAACCAAAGACCCAGUCGGUAACGUUUGAGAGGAUCUGAUCACGGGGGCCCCUCCGGAGAACGGAUCCGCAUCGAUGCGUUCCAAUCCACUCUCCGAGGAUGCCACAUCACUACAACCCCCAACUGCCAGCAACAACAACCACAACAACAAUGGUUCCACCACAGCCACCACCAUCACUACUACUGCAAGUAUCGCAUCGGCCCUCCGCCGGGCGUCGCUGGGUAAAAUCGUAAAGGAUCGCAAACUCAAAAAUAGUUAAUCCUGCAUUGCACUCAUAACUCUAAACCCUCUAAAAACAGUAAUCGAAUUCAACCAUACUAAAACAACUAAACCUUCUACCAAAAUGCAAUAUGGAGCAGUUCCGCGCGGUGCGGGUGUUUCUCAGUUGUGGAAUUUUCGUUGGAUCUAGUUUUUUGGGGGGAGGGUGGAACAGCCUUUUUGUGCUCUUUUGUCCCUCGAAGGAUAACGAAACGGUUUAUGCGUGUUUACUUGCGACUUCACUGUAGCGCCACACACACCGCUCUGCCUUCACUUUCUUUAACCAAAACGAUCGCUGUUUAACUGACGCAAACAAGUGAUAGAGUACGCUACCCGCGGAUGAUGAAACUUUGUUUUAUAAAGUUGAUUGUUUUCUCGAGCGAGCAGCUGAGCAACCGAAAAGCUCUCUCUCUCGCUUCAAGUAGCAUUAGCUCCGUCUUUCCCUCGUUAAAUGUUAUGAAUGUUGAUAGUUCUCGAGAAGUUUUCGUUCACUUUUGUUGAUAUAUAUUCGAAUUUUCUACACGAAGGAACAUUCUUUUCAUACAAAACAAGAAACGCUUACUACCAAUUGAAUGAUGUACAGCUAUUUAAAUCGAACUAAAGUAAUUUUAAACUAAUGGAUAUUGUAUUGACUGUAUAUAAACUAAGAACUACUUAAACCUUAGCAUAAAGUAAUGAGAAUACAACCAAACAACAAACAAAAAAUCGAAAACAAACAAUUGUAUAUUUUAGAAAAGAGGCAAAACGAAAAGUGAUAUCAUGUUAAUUUUAAAUCGAAGAAAUUGAAGCUCUUAUACUGAUUGCAUCGUUAGAACCGAAUUGGUAUGCAAGCGAAGACUUUUUUUCGUAUUGUUAUUCGAUUCCGUUCAAGGUUCGCUUUAUCCAUUUUCACUCUAGUCUCUCUCUCUCAAAGCUAAUCAAUACCAAAGGAAUACAUUCUCAAAAAGGCUUGUAAAUAAAGAGAAACUGUGGUUAUCAGCUAUUUAUCCCGCUUAGAGAUAAAUCAAAAUUAAAAAAGCUUGUUUUCAUACUUCCCCUGCUUUCCAUCACUCUUUUCAUCUGUGUAUUUUCCCAAAGAUUGCGUUGGUGAAAACAAAUGACAUGUUCCUGACACGGUUGCCUUCUCAGCCCACGACGACACGCUUUAUCUACAUGUACAUAUGUAUCCAAACACCGAACUGGUUGCUCCAUAUUGAAAUUUUCCGUUUACCUAAUCCAGACACCAAAUCCAAAAUGGGACCAACGUAGAACGUGCAUACCAUUAUACGCUUUUUGAAUUAGUUUCGGGCUACAACUUUGACAGGACCCAGACCCAAUUUCCAUAGUUAUCAAAGUGUGUCAGUGGUAUAGUUUUUCGCUCUGGGAAUCUGUGUCUCUCUUUGCAGUAGUGGUUAUCAUUUGAAGUUAAAAUUUUAUGGAGCAAACUUGUGAACUUGCUUGGAACA